GAUGAACGCUGGCGGCGUGCCUAAUACAUGCAAGUCGAGCGAACAGACGAGGAGCUUGCUCCUCUGACGUUAGCGGCGGACGGGUGAGUAACACGUGGAUAACCUACCUAUAAGACUGGGAGAACUUCGGGAAACCGGAGCUAAUACCGGAUAAUAUAGUGAACCGCAUGGUUCAAUAGUGAAAGACGGUUUUGCUGUCACUUAUAGAUGGAUCCGCGCCGCAUUAGCUAGUUGGUAAGGUAACGGCUUACCAAGGCAACGAUGCGUAGCCGACCUGAGAGGGUGAUCGGCCACACUGGAACUGAGACACGGUCCAGACUCCUACGGGAGGCAGCAGUAGGGAAUCUUCCGCAAUGGGCGAAAGCCUGACGGAGCAACGCCGCGUGAGUGAUGAAGGUCUUCGGAUCGUAAAACUCUGUUAUUAGGGAAGAACAAAUGUGUAAGUAACUAUGCACGUCUUGACGGUACCUAAUCAGAAAGCCACGGCUAACUACGUG
rnacentral:rRNA from 1 species